UACAGCCACAUCACGUUGAAACAUCAGUUCUCGUACGAUCACCGAAGUUAAGCAGCGUCAAGUCUGGUCAGUACCAAGAUGGGUGACCGUUUGAGAAUAUCAGGUGCUGUAA